GACGAACGCUGGCGGCGUGCUUAACACAUGCAAGUCGAACGGAAAGGCCCUGCUUUUGUGGGGUGCUCGAGUGGCGAACGGGUGAGUAACACGUGAGUAACCUGCCCUUGACUUUGGGAUAACUUCAGGAAACUGGGGCUAAUACCGGAUAGGAGCUCCUGCUGCAUGGUGGGGGUUGGAAAGUUUCGGCGGUUGGGGAUGGACUCGCGGCUUAUCAGCUUGUUGGUGGGGUAGUGGCUUACCAAGGCUUUGACGGGUAGCCGGCCUGAGAGGGUGACCGGCCACAGUGGGACUGAGAUACGGCCCAGACUCCUACGGGAGGCAGCAGUGGGGAAUAUUGCACAAUGGGCGGAAGCCUGAUGCAGCAACGCCGCGUGCGGGAUGACGGCCUUCGGGUUGUAUACCGCUUUCGCCUGUGACGAAGCGUGAGUGACGGUAAUGGGUAAAGAAGCACCGGCUAACUACGUG
rnacentral:rRNA from 1 species